rnacentral:lncRNA from 1 species
AAUUUAGAGUAUGUACUUUUGAUGAUGGGUAAUUUGAGUGGUCGUUGGGAGAACCCACUUUGAUUCGGGUAUAAGCAAGAACUAGUUAUUACAGGGAUAGGUACAAGUAUGGGGAUAAGAAAAAUAGCGUUUGGAUGGAAAUUGGGUUGUUCCCGGGGAUAAAAAAAAUAUUAGGAAGUUUUAUAUAAAAAAUGGAGGUGUUGGUGGGGAUAACCGAGAACUACUAUUCUCGACUAAAAAAUUAGUGUUUUGGUAUAAAGAGGGGAUAAGGGCCUAUUCCUAUUCCUAUCUCCUAACCAAA